UCUGAGGCUGGCAGGCAGGGCGUAUACUCAGGGGUGACGGCUGCCUGGGGAAGCAGGUGAAGACCCCUGCCGGGGGUCCAUUCCUGCACUGUCGCGCAACGGUAAACGCUGGCCCUUUGAGGCCGGCGCAAAGUCCGAACACCGGUCCCGUCCGUGUCUUCUGG
rfam:Deinococcus deserti VCD115, complete genome.